UACCGAAACUGUGGAUGUUAGUUUUUAAUUAACAUGGUAGGGGAGCGUUCUAAGGGCGUUGAAGAUAGAUCGUGAGGACUAUUGGAGCGCUUAGAAGUGAGAAUGCCGGCGUGAGUAACGUAAGGAAGGUGAGAACCCUUCCCACUGAUUGACUAAGGGUUCCUGGGUCAAGUUCGUCUUCCCAGGGUAAGUCAGGACCUAAGGCGAGGCCGAAAGGCGUAGUCGAUGGACAACAGGUUUAUAUUCCUGUACCACCUACAAGACUGAUGGAGUGACAAAGAAGGCUAAGCAAAGCCAAUUAUUGGAUUUUGGUCUAAGCACAAAGGCGUGUUGAGUAAGCAAAUCUAUCAACUGUAACGCUGAAGUGUGAUGGGGAAAAAGUUCUACGGAACUUCAACUUUGCUGAAGCCAUGCUUUCAAGAAAAACUUCUAGGGCUAAUCUUGUAGGUGCCUGUACUCAGAACCGACACUGGUAGUCAAGGAGAGAAUCCUAAGGUGAGCGAGAUAACUAUGGUUAAGGAACUCGGCAAAAUGACCCCGUAACUUCGGAAUAAGGGGAGGUGUAGCGAUACACCCUCAGGAAAUAGGUCCAGGCAACUGUUUACCAAAAACACAGGUCUCUGCUAAAGCGUAAGCUGAUGUAUAGGGGCUGACGCCUGCCCAGUGCUGGAAGGUUAAGAGGAGAUGUUAGUUGGACGCAAGUCGAUAACAACGAAGCUUCGAAUUGAAGCCCCAGUGAACGGCGGCCGUAACAAUAACGGUCCUAAGGUAGCGAAAUUCCUUGUCAGGUAAGUUCUGACCCGCACGAAAGGCGUAAUGAUCUGGAUACUGUCUCAACCAUAGACUCGGUGAAAUCUUAAUACCUGUGAAAAUGCAGGUUACCCGCUACAGGACAAAAAGACCCCGUGGAGCUUUACUGCAACUUGAUAUUGGAAUCAGAUGUAUCAUGUAGAGGAUAGGUGGGAGACUUUGAAGUUAGGACGUCAGUUCUAAUGGAGUCAUCCUUGGAAUACCACCCUUGAUAUGUUUGAUUUCUAACUUGCGCCCAUUAUCUGGGUGGAGGACAGUGUCUGGUGGGCAGUUUGACUGGGGCGGUCGCCUCCCAAAGAGUAACGGAGGCGCCCAAAGGUUCCCUCAGAAUGGUUGGAAAUCAUUCGUAGAGUGUAAUGGCAGAAGGGAGCUUAACUGCGAGACCUACAAGUCAAGCAGAUGCGAAAGCAGGGCAUAGUGAUCUUGCGAUCCCGAAUGGAAGGGUCGUUGCUUAACGGAUAAAAGUUACCCCGGGGAUAACAGGCUGAUCCCACCCAAUAGUUCAUAUAGACGGUGGGGUUUGGCACCUCGAUGUCGGCUCGUCGUAUCCUGGAGGUGGAAUCGCUUCCAAGGGUUGGGCUGUUCGCCCAUUAAAACGGCACGCGAGCUGGGUUCAGAACGUCGUGAGACAGUUCGGUCUCUAUCCGUAGUGGGCGUUAGAAAAUUGAGGAGUGCUUUUCCUAGUACGAGAGGACCGGAAAGGACGAACCGAUGGUGUAUCUGUUGUCACGCCAGUGGCAGUGCAGAGUAGCUAUGUUCGGAAGGGAUAAUCGCUGAAGGCAUCUAAGCGAGAAGCCCUCUCCAAGAUGAGUUUUCUUUAUCUUCAAGAUAUAAGAUCCCUUGUAGACGACAAGGUUGAUAGGUUAGAUGUGUAAGCAUAGUGAUAUGUUGAGCUGACUAAUACUAAUAGAUCGACAAU
rnacentral:rRNA from 1 species